GGCGACAUAGCCAAGUGGUAAGGCGUGGGUCUGCAACACCCUGAUGCGCCGGUUCAAAUCCGGCUGUCGCCU
rnacentral:tRNA from 1 species